rnacentral:misc_RNA from 1 species
AAAUAAAAAAAAAAAAAAUCAAAUUAUCCCUAUUUACAAAUAACAUAAUUAUAUAUCUAAAAAACCCCAUCGUCUCAACCCAAAAUCUCCUUAAACUAAUAAACAACUUCAACAAAAUCUCAAAAUACAAAAUCAAUAUACAAAAAUCACAAACAUUCUUAUACACCAAUAACAAACAAACAAAAAACCAAAUCAUAAAUAAACUCCCAUUCACAAUUACUUCAAAAAAAAUAAAAUACCUAAAAAUCCAACUUACAAAAAAUAUAAAAAACCUCUUCAAAAAAAACUACAAACCACUACUCAAAAAAAUAAAAAAAAAUACAAACAAAUAAAAAAACAAAUGUACACAGUUCUACAGAAGUACACUUCUGCGAUAAGGUAUUUUGUUUUACAAAGAAAACAGCUUUACAAAAUAUAUGAGAAACCUGUAAAUCUAGCUCUGUUAACUGGAUGGGAAAGCAGUUAAUUUUAGAGGGAUUAAAUUCAGCAGCCAUUUGCUGUCCCCAGAGAGUGAACACCGACAAAUUUCUUCUCUUCUCAUUUGUCUUCCUCUUCUUCACCUCGCCUAUAUUGAUGUUAAUUGGAGCUGAAAUUCGUGGUAAAUUGUAACUUUCACAAGCUGACGUUUUGUAUUCUCCGUAUGCAUUCCUUUCGCAAAGAUGAUUCUGCAAAUAUGGCUUUAAUAAAAUCUUCUACCUCUGACACUGUAAAACCAGAGUUGAGGAGUUCCCCGCUCUCCCAAGCUGUUGUAAUGGAUUUCAAGGGCAUGUCUAGCAGUUCUGAGAAUUAUAAAGCAAAAUAGUGAGAACUUGAGGUAGGAAAAAGAAAAAGAAAUGAGACAACAUCAAAUACUUAUCUAUCAACUUCCAGAAACAAACUUAAGCGAAAGACUGAAACCAUGCCUGCAAGUUUGCGAAUUUUACGUAAAGAUGGUAUGAGAUCAUCUAGAGGAAAUCUAGAAUACUCUUCUGACUUCUCCUUUUGGAUGACAGCAAUCAAGGACUCCGUCAAAGAAGUUAGGCUUUCCAACAUCAAAUGGAUGAGUCUUUGAAGCUGUAAUGUUUCCUCGGCAGCCAUAUCAUCUAGAAGGAGUAUGUCUCUCACCAUUCUAGAAAAAACUGACUCUAAAACUAUACAUGUGCUUUUCUUGUAAAUGGGAGGCAGCAAGAGUGGCUCCCAUAUAAGACGUACUUUUUCAAGAAUAAAAACCACCUGAUCUAUACUAAACUUUGUAGAUUCAAAUUGUUUGAUUUUAUGAGUAUUUUGAAAGCCGUCAGCACCAUCUAUGGCCUCUUUCAAAUUAAAAAUAACAAGUUGGAUUUGUCUAUGUAGUAUCUCCUCUGACAAUAUAUGAAAUCGUGGAGCCAUGUCAACAAAAACAGCAUGUUCCUUGAUACAAUUUGGGAAGUCUGACCUAUACUCAAAUGCCAGUCCUAAUAUCUCUUGGGAUAGAUAGAGACAGUCAUUGUGCAUGAGAACAGCAACCUGGUUGAUGCUAUCAAGCUGCCUUUCUAGCUUUACAGGAAUAACAGCCUCAUACAGAAGUAUAGCAUCCCUUGCUGCACGAUAGAAUUCAAGUGCGACUCUUGGAGAUGACAAACAAACAUCCUUAAGCGUCUUAUGCACUAGCUCCAUAAGUUGGGAAGCUGAUUUGGACACCACACACCUCUCGGAUAGAAAGAGCAAGUCAACAACAUGCUCAGAAGAAUUUACAGCUAUUCCAGCACUCUUCAGUGGACGACCUUCUCUUAUAUAUUCUUGUGGAAUGGAAAAGUCACACUGUAAAAGCAAAUUUCUAGCUUUUGCCAAAAUUUCUGUCUUCUUCCUAGAUGCAAAGUGAAUCUCAACAUUUUCUGCAAAAUUGCUCAAUUUUUGGUCUGUGCUAUCAGAUGCUGAAAUAAAUUUCAUUUCUUUUAACUCAGUCUCAAACUCAGAUGUGAGUUUGAUGAUCUUCAGAAAGUCAGUAAGUUUUGAAGCAUCCUCAGGAACCGCCUUGGAGAGGAAGCUAGAAAUAAUCAAGUCAGAUAUACUGGUCCAUGUCAAUCUUCCAAAACUCUGAUUCCAAAAAACAUUUUGGAAGCAUAUGCGUUCAUAAAUAAACUUUACAACCUGAAUGAUCCUUGAAUACAUAUUCUCACCAUCCACAUCUUCCAUCUUUGGAUCAAAUGAUGGUACCAUCUUCAACACUGCCUCAGCUGUUGCUUCCGAGACUUUUUCAGAAUCUUCUACAAAUGAAAUGGACGAUCGAGAAUUAACAGCAGGAGUUAUAACAAACUUGAUCAUCUGGUCAGCCACUUUAGCAAGCCCAUAAUCCAAAAUUCCAAUCACUUCCAAUGCUUCCAAAACCGUGUGAAGGUCAACCCCAGCAAUUCCAUCCAUGCUCAACUGAUACUUGACCCGAAUUCCACCAGAAUCUGGUUCAAACCGUACUGCAUUUUCCAUGAACCUCACGAGCACAUCUUGAAUCUCUUCAAAGCAAUCGAGCCACUCCUUCCUUAACAAGCCGUACACCACAGGAUCCUUCUCAUCCUCAUCACCAAUCCUCAAGGCCUUCUUUAAGUCCCUUACUUCCUCAGCAGCAAAUCUCAGCCGUCCAUUCUUCAAUGCCUCUCUUACAUCUCUCAACCUGUCACUGAUUCCCACAAGUGCCCUUACCAACUCCAACAAUUCCUUCUUCACCCUCAGCUCCCUCAUCUUCACACUCGCUUCCUCAACAAUCUCCCUAAUCUCAACAUCAAUAGGAGAAUCAGAAAGCAAGCCUAUGAGAUCCGAAACCUUCUCAUUGAUUUGAUUAGCCUGUGAAACGGCGUCGUUGCAGAGGGAGAAGAGAGAGGAGAAGUCGCUGUGGUGAGAAAGGAUGUAAGAUUGUACUCUGGACUUGAUUUGGAGAGAAUGAGAUUCGAGCCUGGUUAUGAGGAGGCGGAGAUCAGGUGCGGAAAGUGGGGAGGUAGGGUCCGUCAGGUCGCCGGUGGAAAGUAGGUCUCGGACGUUGAUUGCGUCGAACAAAGCGUCCAUUGGAACGACCGGACUGUAAAUGGCGGUUAGAAAGAAUUUUCAGUCUCUUAGUGCAGCGGAUUUUGGAGUGAAUAUACAGUGGAAUAAGACGAAAUUGG